GGGGCAACCCUGGUGGCGAGUGGCGAACGGGUGAGUAAUACAUCGGAACGUGUCCUGUAGUGGGGGAUAGCCCGGCGAAAGCCGGAUUAAUACCGCAUACGCUCUACGGAGGAAAGGGGGGGAUCUUAGGACCUCCCGCUACAGGGGCGGCCGAUGGCAGAUUAGCUAGUUGGUGGGGUAAAGGCCUACCAAGGCGACGAUCUGUAGCUGGUCUGAGAGGACGACCAGCCACACUGGGACUGAGACACGGCCCAGACUCCUACGGGAGGCAGCAGUGGGGAAUUUUGGACAAUGGGCGAAAGCCUGAUCCAGCAAUGCCGCGUGUGUGAAGAAGGCCUUCGGGUUGUAAAGCACUUUUGUCCGGAAAGAAAACCUCCGCCCUAAUAUGGUGGGGGGAUGACGGUACCGGAAGAAUAAGCACCGGCUAACUACGUGCCAGCAGCCGCGGUAAUACGUAGGGUGCAAGCGUUAAUCGGAAUUACUGGGCGUAAAGCGUGCGCAGGCGGUCCGCUAAGACAGAUGUGAAAUCCCCGGGCUUAACCUGGGAACUGCAUUUGUGACUGGCGGGCUAGAGUAUGGCAGAGGGGGGUAGAAUUCCACGUGUAGCAGUGAAAU
rnacentral:rRNA from 1 species